GAAGGCCAGUGGCAUGACGGCGAUGUGCCGCUGAUGCGGGCGGCGGAUCAUGGCAUGUGGUUGGGAUCGGGCGUGUUUGACGGCGCGCGGGCCGUUG
rnacentral:tRNA from 1 species